ACGACGCUGUAGACGCUGGCGGCAGGCUUACACAUGCAAGUCGAGCGCUCACUUCGGUGGGAGCGGCGGACGGGUUAGUAACGCGUGGGAAUGUACCCUUUACUAAGGAAUAGCCACUGGAAACGGUGAGUAAUACCUUAUACGCCCUUCGGGGGAAAGAUUUAUCGGUAAAGGAUCAGCCCGCGUUAGAUUAGAUAGUUGGUGGGGUAAUGGCCUACCAAGUCUACGAUCUAUAGCUGGUUUUAGAGGAUGAUCAGCAACACUGGGACUGAGACACGGCCCAGACUCCUACGGGAGGCAGCAGUGGGGAAUCUUAGACAAUGGGCGCAAGCCUGAUCUAGCCAUGCCGCGUGAGUGAUGAAGGUCUUAGGAUCGUAAAGCUCUUUCGCCAGGGAUGAUAAUGACAGUACCUGGUAAAGAAACCCCGGCUAACUCCGUGCCAGCAGCCGCGGUAAUACGGAGGGGGUUAGCGUUGUUCGGAAUUACUGGGCGUAAAGCGUACGUAGGCGGAUUAGAAAGUAUGGGGUGAAAUCCCAGGGCUCAACCCUGGAACUGCCUCAUAAACUACUAGUCUAGAGUUCGAGAGAGGUGAGUGGAAU
rnacentral:rRNA from 1 species